UACGGGGGGGGCAAGCGUUUGUUCGGAAUUACUGGGCGUAAAGGGCUCGUAGGCGGCCAACUAAGUCGGACGUGAAAUCCCCAGGCUCAACCUGGGAACUGCGUCCGAUACUGGAUGGCUUGAAUCCGGGAGAGGGAUGCAGAAUUCCAGGUGUAGCGGUGAAAUGCGUAGAUAUCGGGAGGAACACCAGUGGCGAAGGCGACUUCCUGGCCUGUUCUUGACGCUGAGGCGCGAAAGCUAGGGUAGCAAACGGG
rnacentral:rRNA from 1 species